CUAUACAUGCAGUCGAACGAGUUCUGAUUAUUGAAAGGUGCUUGCAUCUUGAUUUAAUUUUGAACGAGUGGCGGACGGGUGAGUAACACGUGGGUAACCUGCCCUUAAGUGGGGGAUAACAUUUGGAAACAGAUGCUAAUACCGCAUAAAUCCAAAAACCGCAUGGUUCUUGGCUGAAAGAUGGCGUAAGCUAUCGCUUUUGGAUGGACCCGCGGCGUAUUAGCUAGUUGGUGAGGUAACGGCUCACCAAGGCAAUGAUACGUAGCCGAACUGAGAGGUUGAUCGGCCACAUUGGGACUGAAACACGGCCCAAACUCCUACGGGAGGCAGCAGUAGGGAAUCUUCCACAAUGGACGCAAGUCUGAUGGAGCAACGCCGCGUGAGUGAAGAAGGCUUUCGGGUCGUAAAACUCUGUUGUUGGAGAAGAAUGGUCGGCAGAAUAACUGUUGUCGGCGUGACGGUAUCCAACCAGAAAGCCACGGCUAACUACGUGCCAGCAGCCGCGGUAAUACGUAGGUGGCAAGCGUUAUCCGGAUUUAUUGGGCGUAAAGCGAGCGCAGGCGGUUUUUUAAGUCUGAUGUGAAAGCCCUCGGCUUAACCGAGGAAGUGCAUCGGAAACUGGGAAACUUGAGUGCAGAAGAGGACAGUGGAACUCCAUGUGUAGCGGUGAAAUGCGUAGAUAUAUGGAAGAACACCAGUGGCGAAGGCGGCUGUCUGGUCUGUAACUGACGCUGAGGCUCGAAAGCAUGGGUAGCGAACAGGAUUAGAUACCCUGGUAGUCCAUGCCGUAAACGAUGAAUGCUAGGUGUUGGAGGGUUUCCGCCCUUCAGUGCCGCAGCUAACGCAUUAAGCAUUCCGCCUGGGGAGUACGACCGCAAGGUUGAAACUCAAAGGAAUUGACGGGGGCCCGCACAAGCGGUGGAGCAUGUGGUUUAAUUCGAAGCAACGCGAAGAACCUUACCAGGUCUUGACAUCUUUUGAUCACCUGAGAGAUCAGGUUUCCCCUUCGGGGGCAAAAUGACAGGUGGUGCAUGGUUGUCGUCAGCUCGUGUCGUGAGAUGUUGGGUUAAGUCCCGCAACGAGCGCAACCCUUAUGACUAGUUGCCAGCAUUUAGUUGGGCACUCUAGUAAGACUGCCGGUGACAAACCGGAGGAAGGUGGGGAUGACGUCAAAUCAUCAUGCCCCUUAUGACCUGGGCUACACACGUGCUACAAUGGAUGGUACAACGAGUUGCGAGACCGCGAGGUCAAGCUAAUCUCUUAAAGCCAUUCUCAGUUCGGACUGUAGGCUGCAACUCGCCUACACGAAGUCGGAAUCGCUAGUAAUCGCGGAUCAGCACGCCGCGGUGAAUACGUUCCCGGGCCUUGUACACACCGCCCGUCACACCAUGAGAGUUUGUAACACCCGAAGCCGGUGGCGUAACCCUUUUAGGGAGCGAGCCGUCUAAG
rnacentral:rRNA from 1 species